GUCUGACUUAAGAUUAGAGUUACGUACUCGUAAAAUGGUAUUCACAAAACCGUUCGUAUCCGCAAACGUAACUUACGAAUUCUUAAAUGUACGAUUGCACUUACGCGUGCGCAAUGACUAUUUUCACUUCGAAGCGUAAAAAGUGUGAAUUUGCUCAUCUACUUUGAAUCCCCUGCGCUACCGCCGCAUUAUGACGAAAAAGAACACAGAACCUUGUGAGAAAGCAACGAAUUUCAACGUACACGUAUGCCUGCCUACGGCAUGUCGAUCAACUGUACCGUUAUUCAGUGUUGGUUACAAAUUCAAAUGGAAGGUUCAUCAAAUUUAACGCAUUUGACUUGUGCAUGGAUCUGCGAUGCUGUACGUGUUCAAAAAGAAGUCGGCAUGGACUGACAAGUCUAUGGGUACAAUGCUGUAAUGGCCUGAAAAAUCUUUUUCGAAACCGAGAAAUGCUCAUCUUCCAUUGCCAUGAUUGUGUGAAAGGACGAGCAGAGGAAUGAUUAAAAAAUAUAUGGCAGGAUUGAGAAUCCAACCCAUGACCCGUAGUCUGGUACUUUACCCACUGCCCAAUCCAUGCUGAUGGUCCAUCUGCUACAUUGAUGUCAUCUUAUAUAUAUAUAUUUAUUCAUUUAUAUCAUAUGGACAUUUGACAGUAAAAAAAAUUUUAAAAAGUUUGAUAAUCACCAAAAUAAAAUUUGUUACAAUACAUGUUUAAGAAAUUAAGUACAAACAUUGGUAUGCAUACAAUUAUGUACAUGUAAUUAUAUUUGUUAAUAAAUAAAUUUUUAGAUGAA